AAGGCAUUUGUGUGAGAGAGCGAGGGAAGGCGUGAGUGAGACAUAUCGUAUUACGGAAGAUGCUGGACUUUGGUUUUGAGUUGCAAGUGUAUCUAUUUGGGGAUUAAGACUGCAUAAUGCACAUCAAACAUCGUGUUCAUUUGUUUUCAGAGCGGAACUGUAACGUGUUUUUAGUCCCCAUCAUCAUUGAAAAGGUAGAUUCACAAAAACAAGUCGACGUAGAAAGAAGAAUUAUUCGAACGUUCAUAACAUUGAAGUUCCUUAGAGCCACUUUCUUAACUGGCCCUGGUUGUAAUAACUGGAUUUGAUGCAAAAGGAUUUUUGAGAUAAACAAGUUCUUCAUCGCCAAAAAUAGAGAAAUAAACUUGCAAUCUGCUUUCGAAUUUUGUCAGAUGGUCAAUUAUUAAUGUUUUCAGUGUGAUAGUCUCCAUCUCUACAAAUUAUGUCACUGAGCUGAAUAUUGCUGAUGUGAUCAACUGCUAGACGUAUAUAGUUUAUAAACGUGUAUAGACGUUCUUUCGAUUUUAGAUAUCUUUUCUGAGAGCAAGCUCCAAAUGACUGUCUCUUACAGAGGCACAAUAUACAUUUUGUACGAUCAAGGAAGGAAAAAUGUAAAGGAGUUUUAAAGAUCAUAAAAAGUACUUGGAAUCAUCUUCUUUUUUUUUUAAUAAAAGAGAGGGAAUAAGUUAUUAAUUUGCAGAUUUAUCUCAUAUUAACUUUUUUUUAGCGUGUUUAAGGACUUUAAACCGAAACAAAGUCAUUUAUGAUUUUUAUGGGCAUUAUUUUUGACAAAACGAUCUAACUAACAUAUGUUCGUAAGGAAAAGAAAAAUUAUACAUAUACUGAAUACAUACAAAUACUAACGUAAUAUACCUAAGGGAUUAAAGUAAAAUUGUUAUUUGUAACGUCAAUAGAUAAAAUAAUACAAAUUUAUAAAGGAAAAUUUGAAUUUUAAAUACGCAUCUCACGUUCCAGUAGCAACAUGUCGUUUACAGCUGUACUUCUUUGACUUUUUAUUGGAGUUGAAAUCAAUGGUGAAUAUGAAAUAAUGAUAAUACCACUUUUGGUUCAUGGUUGUCAAGAUAAAAUUGGUAAUCCGUAUUUCAUAAAGAAAGGCCAAGUAGAAAAAAAAUUUCUCACCUUUCGAGGUGCCAGAGAUAUAGGAAAUGUUUUGAGUUAGAUUAUUAUGAGCAUUGUAGAUCAACAUGUGGAUGUUGUGAUGAUGAUUGUAGAAAUAAUCUCACAACAUGCAAAAAAACACUCAGUUUUUGUUUUGCACGUGAAAAAGAUGAUUGUUUACGUUCCUGUGUUUUUUGCUUUCUUAAUAAAUGUAGAGACAUAUUGAGACCCCAGAUUUGUAAUUCGAAUAAAAAGUGUUCGAUACUUUUGUUCUAAAGCCUGUGAAUGGUGUGAUAAAAAAUGUGAAAAUCUGAUGAUAUAUGAUCACCAAUGUUAUCGUUAUAAACAACAUGGAUAUUGCGAGAACUAUCAUCCAUAUUGUAGUACAAUGUGGAAACUUUGCCACAAGGCAUGCUCACCAGAUUGCUCAGAAUCAGGAAAAACAGCUUGUUAUAGGGGUUAUGGUCCUAUGCCUGAUGAAUAAAACCAAGAGUAGUUAUACCGCCUUCCUUGAAAUAUAAGAAUAAAUCAUUUGUAGUAUGCUUUCUCCUUUUUAAUUUAUCAAGUACAUAGUAUAAUUUCAGAAUCCUUUAUCACAGCGAUUACUUUAUCAAGCAUUUACUUGUAUAAAAAUACGAUAGUUUUGAAUAAAAACUAUUAAAUAAAUAUAAAUCAUAAAA
rnacentral:lncRNA from 1 species